rnacentral:rRNA from 1 species
ACGAACGCUGGCGGCGUGCUUCACCCAUGCAAGUCGCACGGAAAGGCCCUGCUUUUGUGGGGUGCUCGAGUGGCGAACGGGUGAGUAACACGUGAGUAACCUGCCCUUGACUUUGGGAUAACUUCAGGAAACUGGGGCUAAUACCGGAUAGGAGCUCCUGCUGCAUGGUGGGGGUUGGAAAGUUUCGGCGGUUGGGGAUGGACUCGCGGCUUAUCAGCUUGCUGGUGGGGUAGUGGCUUACCAAGGCUUUGACGGGUAGCCGGCCUGAGAGGGUGACCGGCCACAUUGGGACUGAGAUACGGCCCAGACUCCUACGGGAGGCAGCAGUGGGGAAUAUUGCACAAUGGGCGGAAGCCUGAUGCAGCAACGCCGCGUGCGGGAUGACGGCCUUCGGGUUGUAAACCGCUUUCGCCUGUGACGAAGCGUGAGUGACGGUAAUGGGUAAAGAAGCACCGGCUAACUACGUG